UACAGAGGGUGCAAGCGUUAAUCGGAAUUACUGGGCGUAAAGGGCGCGUAGGUGGUUAAUUAAGUUAGAUGUGAAAUCCCUGGGCUUAACCUAGGAAUUGCAUUUAAAACUGAUUAGCUAGAGUGUGGGAGAGGUAAGUGGAAUUUCCAGUGUAGCGGUGAAAUGCGUAGAUAUUGGAAGGAACACCAGUGGCGAAGGCGACUUACUGGACCACUACUGACACUGAGGCGCGAAAGCGUGGGGAGCGAACAGG
rnacentral:rRNA from 1 species